rnacentral:rRNA from 1 species
GAGGAAAAGAAACUAACAAGGAUUCCCCUAGUAACUGCGAGUGAAGCGGGAAAAGCUCAAAUUUAAAAUCUGGUGGUCUUCGGCCAUCCGAGUUGUAAUCUAGAGAAGUGUUACCCGCGUCGGACCGUGUACAAGUCUCCUGGAAUGGAGCGUCAUAGAGGGUGAGAAUCCCGUCUUUGACACGGACUACCGAGGCUUUGUGGUGCGCUCUCAAAGAGUCGAGUUGUUUGGGAAUGCAGCUCAAAAUGGGUGGUAAAUUCCAUCUAAAGCUAAAUAUUGGCGAGAGACCGAUAGCGAACAAGUACCGUGAGGGAAAGAUGAAAAGAACUUUGGAAAGAGAGUUAAACAGUACGUGAAAUUGCUAAAAGGGAAACGCUUGAAGUCAGUCGCGUUGGCCGGAAAUCAGCCUUGCUUUUUGCUGGGUGUACUUUCUGGUUGACGGGCCAGCAUCAGUUUUGACCGGUGGAAAAAGUCUAGGGGAAUGUGGCAUCUUCGGAUGUGUUAUAGCCCUUGGUCGUAUACAUCGGUUGGGACUGAGGAACUCAGCACGCCGCAAGGCCGGGUCAUUGACCACGUUCGUGCUUAGGAUGCUGGCAUAAUGGCUUUAAUCGACCCGUCUUGAAACACGGACCAAGGAGUCUAACAUGCCUGCGAGUGUUUGGG